rnacentral:lncRNA from 1 species
AAUUUCACCAUCCUAGAUUCUCAAAAUCUUUACAAUAGUUUCUAUCUCCUGUCCAAAAUUUGUAUUCUUUCCUAAAUCCAUGUGAUAGGUAUAGAUAGGCUGAGGCCACAUUCUUAUGAGAGGUCUUCACUCAGUUUAUCCCAUUCAGUUCUAAUAAGGAAUUUGUUUUUUCCACUGUCAACUGUUAUAUUCUUUCUCAACUCGAUUUCAUAUUUACUAUUCUUGUUGUCUAUUGUAUCUCUUCUUUUUGUCUGUAAUCCUUUCUAAAUAAACCUAUUCUUUUGCCAAAGAGAAUGGCCAUUAAUUCUUCACAUGACUGAACCCCAACAUUUGGUGCUGAACCCCCAAUAUAUCAUUUGGAAUUAGGAAUUGCUCUCCUAAAUAAUAUCAUUAACACAUCUAAAAGCUUCUAUAUGUUAGAGAACUUGUCAGAGCUUAUACUGUAUUGGUGUAGUCUUUGAGAACUUAUAUUCACCACCUCCAUUACAAUGAGGGUUUAAAGUACUUUAAUUCAAUAAAUAUUUAUUAAGGCUUGCUUUGUGACAAGAGUUAGGCACUAGGGAUGCAAUUAAUGGAAAGAAAGACAGUCCCUGCCCUCUAAAGUCAGAGACAACCUACAAAUGAAAAUAAGAAAGAGGGGAGAAGAGGAUAUCAGGGAGGUAACCAAGAGUUAUUUUAUUCUAUAGAUUUGAAACCAGGCAGGGUGGCAGAUAUAAAAUGGAGUCCAGUUCUGCUCCUCUAAAAGAAGGCAUUGGGAAAUGAUUGGUACCUACCCUCUAGCUCUCUAAUCAGAAGGGAGAGGAGGAAGGUAACGUCAAUCAAAACUUUAGAUUAGAGGUGACCACCUUAUCCUGGGAGGGACAUCUGUUCUGUGGAAUUGCAAGUAGAGAAGGCCCACCUACGCAGUAGAGAUUGUUAAUUCAAAUCUUCUUAAACUGCAAUAUUCUCCCACUGUAAUAAAUUGUGCCCUGAACAUUUCUUCAAAAAUCUCCUUGUUUUUAAUUUAGCACCAUAGAUUUGGAGCUGGCAAGGACUACAAAUCUCACCUAAUGUUAUAUUUCCAUCUCCAUUUUACCUUAGUUCUGAUCCCACUGAUGAUAUUUAUUCCUCAUUUGACUGUGAAUGAGUUUUCUCUUUUCAUCUUAUCUUAACUAGAUAACCAUGAAGUUUCCUUCCAAGUGUAUGCCCUGCCUAUAUAACAGAACUGGGAUUUAAACCCAGUACCUCUGUUUACAAACAUAGCACUUAAAAAACAAUAACAACAACU